rnacentral:rRNA from 1 species
AUUGAACGCUGGCGGCAGGCCUAACACAUGCAAGUCGAGCGGCAGCGACUUAACUGAACUUCGGGGAACGUUAAGGGCGGCGAGCGGCGGACGGGUGAGUAAUGCCUGGGAAUAUGCCCUGAUGUGGGGGAUAACUAUUGGAAACGAUAGCUAAUACCGCAUAAUCUCUUCGGAGCAAAGAGGGGGACCUUCGGGCCUCUCGCGUCAGGAUUAGCCCAGGUGGGAUUAGCUUGUUGGUGAGGUAAUGGCUCACCAAGGCAACGAUCCCUAGCUGGUCUGAGAGGAUGAUCAGCCACACUGGAACUGAGACACGGUCCAGACUCCUACGGGAGGCAGCAGUGGGGAAUAUUGCACAAUGGGGGAAACCCUGAUGCAGCCAUGCCGCGUGUGUGAAGAAGGCCUUCGGGUUGUAAAGCACUUUCAGUAGGGAGGAAGGUAGUGUAGUUAACACCUGCAUUAUUUGACGUUACCUACAGAAGAAGCACCGGCUAACUCCGUGCCAGCAGCCGCGGUAAUACGGAGGGUGCGAGCGUUAAUCGGAAUUACUGGGCGUAAAGCGCAUGCAGGCGGCCUGUUAAGUCAGAUGUGAAAGCCCGGGGCUUAACCUCGGAAUUGCAUUUGAAACUGGCAGGCUAGAGUCUUGUAGAGGGGGGUAGAAUUUCAGGUGUAGCGGUGAAAUGCGUAGAGAUCUGAAGGAAUACCAGUGGCGAAGGCGGCCCCCUGGACAAAGACUGACGCUCAGAUGCGAAAGCGUGGGGAGCAAACAGG